rnacentral:tRNA from 1 species
GCGAGAGUGGUGAAAUUGGUAGACACGCCAGAUUUAGGAUCUGGUGCCUUUGGCGUGGGGGUUCAAGUCCCUUCUCUCGCA